rnacentral:rRNA from 1 species
GCCAGCAGCCAUAUCACCCUGCAGCUCUCUACUGGCUACCCAUUGAAGCUACAGUAAGUAGGGUUGGGCCUGGUCAUUACCUGGAUAGGAGACCUCCUGGGAAGCUAUGGUUGCUGCUGGAA